rnacentral:tRNA from 1 species
GCGGGCCACCGGAUCGCCGGAGCCGUCCCGGGCCGCCGGGAUCGACCCGGGCCCGGCCGGCCGGGCACCCGACGCCCGGCCCGGCUCCGGCCGGCCCGCG